CGGGUAGCCGGCCUGAGAGGGUGACCGGCCACACUGGGACUGAGACACGGCCCAGACUCCUACGGGAGGCAGCAGUGGGGAAUAUUGCACAAUGGGCGAAAGCCUGAUGCAGCGACGCCGCGUGAGGGAUGACGGCCUUCGGGUUGUAAACCUCUUUCAGUAGGGAAGAAGCGAAAGUGACGGUACCUGCAGAAGAAGCGCCGGCUAACUACGUGCCAGCAGCCGCGGUAAUACGUAGGGCGCAAGCGUUAUCCGGAAUUAUUGGGCGUAAAGAGCUCGUAGGCGGUUUGUCGCGUCUGCCGUGAAAGUCCGGGGCUCAACUCCGGAUCUGCGGUGGGUACGGGCAGACUAGAGUGAUGUAGGGGAGACUGGAAUUCCUGGUGUAGCGGUGAAAUGCGCAGAUAUCAGGAGGAACACCGAUGGCGAAGGCAGGUCUCUGGGCAUUAACUGACGCUGAGGAGCGAAAGCAUGGGGAGCGAACAGGAUUAGAUACCCUGGUAGUCCAUGCCGUAAACGUUGGGCACUAGGUGUGGGGGACAUUCCACGUUUUCCGCGCCGUAGCUAACGCAUUAAGUGCCCCGCC
rnacentral:rRNA from 1 species